CGAACGGGUGAGUAACGCGUGAGGAACCUGCCUCAAAGAGGGGGACAACAGUUGGAAACGACUGCUAAUACCGCAUAAGCCCACGGGUCGGCAUCGACCUGAGGGAAAAGGAGCAAUCCGCUUUGAGAUGGCCUCGCGUCCGAUUAGCUAGUUGGUGAGGUAACGGCCCACCAAGGCGACGAUCGGUAGCCAGACUGAGAGGUUGAACGGCCACAUUGGGACUGAGACACGGCCCAG
rnacentral:rRNA from 1 species